CCCUUAGAUGUUCUGGGCCGCACGCGCGCUACACUGAUGCAUUCAACGAGCCUAGCCCUGACCGAGAGGUCCGGGUAAUCUUUGAAACUGCAUCGUGAUGGGGCUAGAUUAUUGCAAUUAUUAAUCUUCAACGAGGAAUGCCUAGUAAGCGUGAUUCAUCAAAUCGCGUUGAUUACGUCCCUGCCCUUUGUACACACCGCCCGUCGCUCCUACCGAUUGAGUGUGUUGGUGAGGAGUUUGGAUUGGCCUCGGAAGGUGGUUCGCCACCGUCCGUAGCUGAGAAGUUCUCCAAACCGCCCCACUUAGAGGAAGGAGAAGUCGUAACA
rnacentral:rRNA from 1 species